CGAAGUUGGGGCGUACUAUACAUGCAGUCGAGCGGACAGAUGGGAGCUUGCUCCCUGAUGUUAGCGGCGGACGGGUGAGUAACACGUGGGUAACCUGCCUGUAAGACUGGGAUAACUCCGGGAAACCGGGGCUAAUACCGGAUGCUUGAUUGAACCGCAUGGUUCAAUUAUAAAAGGUGGCUUUUAGCUACCACUUACAGAUGGACCCGCGGCGCAUUACCUAGUUGGUGAGGUAACGGCUCACCAAGGCAACGAUGCGUAGCCGACCUGAGAGGGUGAUCGGCCACACUGGGACUGAAACACGGCCCAAACUCCUACGGGAGGCAGCAGUAGGGAAUCUUCCGCAAUGGACAAAAGUCUGACGGAGCAACGCCGCGUGAGUGAUGAAGGUUUUCGGAUCGUAAAACUCUGUUGUUAGGGAAAAACAAGUACCGUUCGAAUAGGGCGGUACCUUGACGGUACCUAACCAAAAAGCCACGGCUAACUACGUGCCACCAGCCGCGGUAAUACGUAGGUGGCAAGCGUUGUCCGGAAUUAUUGGGCGUAAAGCGCGCGCAGGCGGUUUCUUAAGUCUGAUGUGAAAGCCCCCGGCUCAACCGGGGAGGGUCAUUGGAAACUGGGGAACUUGAGUGCAAAAGAGGAGAGUGGAAUUCCACGUGUACCGGUGAAAUGCGUAGAGAUGUGGAGGAACACCAGUGGCGAAGGCGACUCCUCUGGUCUGUAACUGACGCUGAGGCGCGAAAGCGUGGGGAGCGACCAGGAUUAGAUACCCUGGUAGUCCACCCCGUAAACGAUGAGUG
rnacentral:rRNA from 1 species